CAAAAAUAACUAGCAGUAUAACUUGUUGCAGGAAGAAGUACACAAGCAUCAACAAACGACAUGAAGCCAUGCACGAAUCCGAUCGAAAUUACACUUCAUCAUACUACAUCAUUCAAAGAUUCCAGGUAAUUGACAGCAGUAAGCGACAGUUGAACUGAACCACAGUUAAUUUCUGUAGGCAUCAAGCAGACGGUCGGUCCAGGGAAGGAUGCGAAUUCGCAAAGCCGAGCAGGCCAACAACUAAGCUAAACGUGGGAUGAAGCAGACGGAUGAAUGGGACUUAGGGAGGGCAGAGACUCAUCAGAGGCCGAGCAGAGACUCGUUGGUCAUGGAGAUGUGCGUGUGGCAGAUCUCCGUGCAGCGCAGCGCCUCCUCCAAGGCGGCGAUGGCGAAGCCGCGCUCGCGGUCGACGCAGCCCUGGGCGUCGGGGAGGCCGCAGACCGAGUUGAGGUUGCCGCGGCACGACAGCAGGGGCGUGUACGCGUCCUCGGCCGCCCUCCUCGCCGCCCGCACGUCGGCGACGGGGU
rnacentral:lncRNA from 1 species